rnacentral:tRNA from 1 species
AUCUUUCUAGUAUUAGAAUUAGUACGAGUGACUUCCAAUCACCUGGCCCUGGUUAAAAUCCAGGGAAAGAUA